GGAGAGGUGGCCGAGCGGUUGAAGGCACCGGUCUUGAAAACCGGCAGGGCGAAAGUCCUCGUGGGUUCAAAUCCCACCCUCUCCGCCA
rnacentral:tRNA from 1 species